rnacentral:rRNA from 1 species
GACGAACGCUGGCGGCGUGCUUAACACAUGCAAGUCGAGCGGUAAGGCCCUUUCGGGGGUACACGAGCGGCGAACGGGUGAGUAACACGUGGGUGACCUGCCUUUAGCUCUGGGAUAAGCCUGGGGAAACUGGGUCUAAUACCGGAUAUGACUCCAUGAUGCAUGUUGUGGGGUGGAAAGCCUUGUGCGGCUGGAGAUGGGCCCGCGGCCUAUCAGCUUGUUGGUGGGGUGANGGCCUACCAAGGCGACGACGGGUA